GGCUGGGGUCACACAGGCAGGGGUCACACAGGCUGGGGUCACACAGGCAGGGGUCACACAGGCAGGGGUCCCCGUGGAGAGUGGUUCACACUUGGCAGGUCAGCUCCAGCCUCGUUGCACCUGACGUGGAAAGAGGUGGGCGUCAAGGAAGCAAGUCAUAUGGAAUUGGACCGGAAUACACAUUAUCGAAUAAGUAUCUGUGAGUCCACACUGAUACAAACAAAUAUGCGGAUGAGGCCGGGCAUAUUGGCUCACGCCUGUAAUCCCAGCACUUUGAGAGACUGAGCCGGGAGGCUCACCUGAGGUCAGAAGUUCCAGAUCAUCCUGACCAACGUAGUGAGACCCCCGUCUCUACUAAAAGUACAAAAAUUAGCUGGGCGUGGUGGCGGGCACCUGUAAUCCCAGCUACUCGGGAAGCUGAAGCAAGAGAAUCACUUGAGCCCAGGAGGCAGAGGUUGCAGUAAGCCGAGAUCGCGCCACUGCACUCCAGCCUGGGAGACAGAGCAAGACUCUGCAGAAAAGAAAGAACAAACGAAAGAAAAAGAAAGGAAGGAAGGAAGGAAAAGAAAGAAAGAAACAGAUGAGUGAGUUAGCAGGGAAAGGUGAAAUAACACAUCUCUCUUAUAGAAGAAUUUUUUUUUUUUUUUUUUGAGACAGAGUCUUGCUCUAUCCCCCAAGCUGGAGUGCAGUGGUACAAUCUCUGCUCACUGCAACCUCUGCCUCCUGGGUUCAAGCGAUUCUCCUGCCUCAGCCUCCCGAGUAGCUGGGACUACAGGCGCCCACCCCUACGUCCGGAUAAUUUUUUAUGUUUUUAGUAGAGACGGGGUUUCACCAUAUUGGCCAGGCUGGCCUUGAACUCCUGACCUUGUGAUCCGCCCGCCUCGGCCUCCCAAAGUGCUGGGAUUACAGGCAUGAGCCACCGCACCCAGCCGUAUUCUUAAGAACUAUCAAAUCUAAAUCUACUCCCCCAUCCUGAAGAAGGGAGCUAAUCCCCCCCCCACAGCCCAAAUUCCCCCUGGGCUGCACUUAUUGGCUUGUUUACAAAGACUAGAGUUUGGAAAGGGGAAGGAAGUGGGGUCACGUACCGUGGGGAGAGCUGGCCAGGUGACCAGGGUUACUAGCAGCAUGGGUGAGAAGACGAGAACACGUACCUCCUGAUAGGAGGCGAACAGAAGGGUUUUUUGUUUUUCUUUUUCAUAUUAAAAAACUUUUUUUGGCUGGGCACAGUGGCUCAUGCCUGUAAUCCGAGCAGUUUGGGAGGCCAAGGCGGGUAGAUCGCCUGAAGUCAAGAGUUCAAAACCAGCCUGGUUAACAUGGUGAAACCCCGUCUGUACUAAAAAUAUAAAAGCUGCACGUGGUGGCGGGCACCUGUGAUCCCAGCUACUUAUGAGGCUGAUGCAGGGGAAUCACUUGAACCCGGGAGGCGGAGGUUGCAGUGAGCUGAGAUCAGCACUGCAGCCUGGGCAACAAGAGUGAAACUCCAUCUCAAUUAAAACAAUGUUAUUUUGAAGAGAUAGGGUCUCACUAUGUUGCCCAGAAUGGUUCUCUAACUCCCGGGUUCAAGCGAUCCUUCCCCCUCAGCCUACGAAAUAGCUGGAAUUACAGGUGUAUGCCCCCAGGCCUGGCUAAUUUUUAAUUCUUAAAUUUUUUUUGGUAGACGUGGGGUCUUGCUAUGUUGCCCAGGUGGUCUCAAACUCCUGGCCUCAAGCAAUCCACCCAACUCAGCCUCCCAAAGUGCUGGGAUUACAGGUGUGAGCUACCACGCCUGGCCCAGAGGGACAUUUUGUGUGUGUAGCUGUCAUCCCAGCUACACGGGAAGUUGAGGCAGGAGAAUCGCUUGAGCCCGGGGGUUGGAGGUUACAGUGAGCCGGGAUCACGCCACUGCACUCCAGCCUGGGCAACAAAGCGAGACUCCGUCUCAAAAAAAAAAAGAGGUUUUAUUUUGCGUUUUUGUUACUUAUUUAUUCAUUUAUUUAUUAGUUC
rnacentral:lncRNA from 1 species